CUCUACUACUGUCUAAUAUGUGUUAUGCUUCGCUCCUGUCUUUCAUGUAUUCCCCCUCUACAUCAUGUUAUCAUAUAAGAAUGUCAAAUAAGAACGAUUUGUUCAUCAUUUUGUGCUUCAGAAUGGUCCAAGACCCUCCUUACCUCAAAUACAACUCAGAUUGAACCUAGCAUCAGGACAUAACAUUUCUGCUGAGGGGAGACCAAGGGUAGCAGACUUAGAUGAAGUGGUGCCUCGAGAAGGGCAAAGAUGCAACCAGCAAGAUAAAUUUGGCCCAGAAAGGAAAAGGUGCAAGAUAUUGACUCAGAAACUUUUAGAUCCUAAGCCCGUUGAGAAUUGUUGGGAUCAGUGUAUCAACUCCAAAGAUAUCACGACUCAUCAAAGAUCUCGCAAAAAGAAGACACUAGUUGAGACCGAUGACGAUUUUCUAACUUGAAGGCAAUGAAAUGGUUUAGGUGUAAAGUUUGAAUGUCAUUUUGUAAAUGAAAUUCCCUCAUCUAUUUUGUUUAUAAUUCUUAUUUAGUCUAUAACCAUUUUGGUUCA